GGCUCAGUGGAAUUCAGUAACUUGUCCAAGGACACAGAGCUGGGAAAGGGUGGACCAGGACUCCAGCCCAGGAUCCCCUGAUCCAGUGCCUGAAGCCGGUCCAUCCUUGUUGCUUGACACAGUCGCUGCAGGGAAGAAACAUCUGCACAGCAUAUGUGUCAAGGGACCUGGCAUACUGUUCUUAAUAUGUUUGCUCCCCUUCUUAGCGCUCUGUGUUCUAACCAGGGCCACCUCCCCGAGAAAGGUUGAAUUAACAAGACUAAGGAAGGGAAUGAAUCAGUAAAACCCCCUAGUGUUACAAAAUACCAUGUACUACUUAUGAAGAACUUGGACUAAGACUGUUGGCAGUAAAUUUGGGACUUGUUGGGCCCACAUCCCCAGGGGUCUGCCCACCAGGGAAAGCACCAAAGCCUACACCCCUGGAGACCCACCGACACAGGGCAGUCCCAGGGAAGGCAAGCAGCGGGGCUGGGAGGACAUAACUUUUACUGGGUAGGAUAAACUCCUUCAGUCACUUCCUUGAGCAGUAGAAUAGUGACCUUGGAAUAGCCCUUAUAAUGGAACACAGAGAUUAACCUAGAAAAGAUUAAAAUCAACAGACCUAGAUAGAGACAGGAUUUUUGACAAAGGUCAGAUAAGAAACUAAGGACAUGAAACCAGGAACUGUAGAAGGCCAAGGGAGGACCCAAAACAUACCAUUAUGUCAAGCUUAUAGAUACAGUUGUAACAGGACAAUAAAGGAGAGAAUAAAGAGAGAACCUGGCUAUGCUGAUCAACUGAA